GGUGUGAAUUCCGAGGCUAGGUCACAAAAGGCAUUGUAUCUUCCACCUCUUAGAUCUCUCUCUCUGCGGAAGCCAGCCACCGCUCUCCAAGGACUCUCGAGCAGCUCCAUCUACAGAUUCACAUGGAGAAGAAUUAAGGGUUCCUGCCAAUCACCAGCACCACUUUGCCAGCCUUGUAAGUGGGCCACCUUGGAAUUGGAGCCUCCAGUUCCUACUGACAUCUGACUGCAACAUCAUGAGAGACCCUGAGUUUGAACCACCCAGCUGAGCUGCUUCUGAGCUAACCCACUGAAACCACAGUUGGCAUCUGUGUGAAGAUGUGAAUGGAGGAGGCAGAGUAGGCAGUGAGUGCCGCAGCCACAGCUUGUGUUCUCUGCAGCCCUGGCACAGAAGAUAGGAACACUCAUGGGGGAUGCGGCCACUGUGAUGUCUUCCCACACAAGAAGUGCCAAGUGCUUUUCUCAUGCUUUUCUGGAUUGUCCCAUGGUGGACGAGUCAGCAGGAGUGAGAUGGAGCAGCACAGUAGAGGGGCCAGGAUAUCGUUGUACAUAUUCUCAGCUAAGUGAGCACCAAUAGAGGAGAGGGAGAGUCUCAUGGAAGUUCCUUCUAAGCCUUUGGCUCUUUUUACCUUCAACAAGGUGUGCCACCUCUUUGAUCCAGCAAGUGGGAAGAACAGUCCCGGCCUCUUUGCACACAAGACCGUGAUACCAAUGCACCAUCACAGGCCCCACAGGGGAGCUGUCCGCUUCCCCACACAGCUGCUAGGGGCUCUUUUGCAUGUUCCCAACCUUUCCUGCCUUUAUCUGAUAUUCGUUCCUUAGAUCCUGGGAUGAGGAGGUGGACCAGCAGAAGGUGGGCUUGUGAAGGCAGCCCGGGGUCCAAAUCCUCCUGGCUCUUCAGCUUAGCGGGAUGUCACCUUCAGCGUCUGAAAGCUGGGUUUGAUGCGUCUGGAAAGGCGUCCCUGACAGGCGUCGUUGCCAGGAGCCCCUAGUGCCACCAGCAGCCAGCAGGGGAGGGCGUCCUCUGCCCGCUCACUUCUGACCCUUCUCUCGUUGCACCCGGAACAUGGUGCAGCUGGGAGCAGCCUGGGCUGCGCGGAAGGCUCAGAUUUGGGGACGGCCCUUGCCAGUGACUGUGAGCUGGGGUGUCUUGGAAACUCCCAGUCUCAGCUUCUCCAUUUAUAAGAUGAGAAUGAUCAUACCAGACUCAGGCAAGGUUGUUUGUGCAUUAGUGAAAUCAGACGUAUUAAAUAAAGUACCACAUUGAUCGUGGAGUUGUUGAAUAACCAAGAA
rnacentral:lncRNA from 1 species